rnacentral:sRNA from 8 species
AUAUCUCUCCGUACGGGAAGGAUGAGAAGCUUCGACUAAGGUUCGAUUCGAGCGCAGCGAGAACGCGUUGCCGC